GGAGGUGCCCUCAGGCCCAGGAAGCCCUGUUGUCUGGUCUACUCUGUUCCUGGAAGUUCCCUCUGGGUGUGUUCCACUCUCCUUUCCCUCAGGAGCAGCACUUCUGGGGACAGACGACCUGGAAAGCCUCAGAUCCCCUGGCUCCAGCCAGCCCCCUUUGGAUGCCACAAUCUGAACGGGUGCUCGUUAAUGUCUGCAGGUCCUCUAAUGACGUGGAGACACAGGGCUGAGGUUGGCAGUACACAUCCCUCAGUGGGUGCACUCUGACCCUGGUGCCCACCAUAGAAGCUCAAUUCCAGGUGGAGGACGAGUGUCCCUGUGUGCCCGGGCAGUUGGAUCAGCAUUGCACUUCAUGAGAGAUGCGCUGAAUGUGCUGCUGAUGGAUGUCAGACCCGCGAGGAAUACAGUAGGCCGCUGAUGAUUGAAUUGUGCAUCAGCUUCUGUACAUACACAUUACCUGCCUCCGAGACAGAUAACUUUAAGUAAAUCCUGGAGGGCAUGACUGGCCCCAAAUUUCUUAAUCUUCAAAUUUGCAAUAUGUACCAUAUUUUAUUCUUGGAUUUGAAGUUUAGCCUGAAUCGAUAAAAUAGGAACUAUCACACUGAAUAAC